rnacentral:rRNA from 1 species
UGGGGAAUUUUUCGCAAUGGGGGAAACCCUGACGAAGCAACGCCGCGUGGAGGAUGAAGGCCUUCGGGUCGUAAACUCCUGUCGACCGGGACGAAGGCACCCGACCUAAUACGUCGGAGUGUUGACUGUACCGGUGGAGGAAGCCACGGCUAACUCUGUGCCAGCAGCCGCGGUAAUACAGAGGUGGCAAGCGUUGUUCGGAAUUACUGGGCGUAAAGGGCGCGUAGGCGGCCUGGUCAGUCCCUUGUGAAAUCCCUCGGCUCAACUGAGGAACCGCACGGGAAACAGCCGGGCUUGAGUUCGGGAGAGGGAAGCGGAAUUCCGGGUGUAGCGGUGAAAUGCGUAGAUAUCCGGAGGAACACCGGUGGCGAAGGCGGCUCCUGGACCGACACUGACGCUGAGGCGCGAAAGCUAGGGGAGCAAACGGGAUUAGAUACCCCCGGUAGUCCUAGCUGUAAAACGAUGAGUGCUGGGUGUAGGGGGUA